rnacentral:rRNA from 1 species
UACGGAGGAGGCAAGCGUUAUCCGGAAUUAUUAGGCGUAAAGCGUCCGUAGGUGGUUAUUCAAGUCUUUUGUUAAAUAGUGGAGCUCAACUCCAUAGAGGCGGAAGAAACUGAGUAACUUGAGUGCGGUAGGGGUAGAGGGAAUUCCAGGUGUAGCGGUGAAAUGCGUAGAUAUCUGGAAGAACACCAGUGGCGAAGGCGCUCUACUGGGCCGUAACUGACACUGAGGGACGAAAGCUAGGGGAGCGAAAGGG